UGUUUUGGUUCUUCAUAAGCAACUGCCUGCACAUCUGCAAAGAAGAAAAGGUUACCGUCAGCUCCAGCUGGGAUGAGUGGCUGUCUGCUGCUUUCAAAAGGACUUCGAUUUGUGAUCCUGGAGUGAAGUUCUAGAUAAGCAACUGAUGUCACGCGGACUUCCUUACAUUUGCUUUAAGUCAUGCAGAGCAGGUGCGUUUUGUCUCUCCAUUCCCAGAAUGGGCCAACAAUGGAAAUUACCCAACUUCACUGACAGGAUGCAGCUUGUUAAGUCAAGUCUCUUAAGACCAACAAAUCUCCAAACCGAACAGGCUCCUGAACAUUUGCAACUAAAAGGUUUUUAAAGAAAAGCUCUAUGUAGUAAAACUCCUUUUACCCACAA